rnacentral:rRNA from 1 species
AUUGAACGCUGGCGGCAUGCCUUACACAUGCAAGUCGAACGGUAACGGGCCUUCGGGUGCCGACGAGUGGCGAACGGGUGAGUAAUAUAUCGGAACGUACCUUUCAGUGGGGGAUAACGUAGCGAAAGUUACGCUAAUACCGCAUAUUCUGUGCGCAGGAAAGCAGGGGACCUUCGGGCCUUGCGCUGAUUGAGCGGCCGAUAUCAGAUUAGCUAGUUGGUGAGGUAAAGGCUCACCAAGGCGACGAUCUGUAGCGGGUCUGAGAGGAUGAUCCGCCACACUGGAACUGAGACACGGUCCAGACUCCUACGGGAGGCAGCAGUGGGGAAUUUUGGACAAUGGGGGCAACCCUGAUCCAGCCAUGCCGCGUGAGUGAAGAAGGCCUUCGGGUUGUAAAGCUCUUUCGGCCGGGAAGAAAUCGUACGGGCUAAUACCCUGUGCGGAUGACGGUACCGGCAUAAGAAGCACCGGCUAACUACGUGCCAGCCGCCGCGGUAAAAC